rnacentral:tRNA from 1 species
GGGGAUUUAGCUCAGCGGCAUAAGCGCCUGUCUUGCAAGCAGGCAGUUGUGAGUUCGAUCCUCCCCGGUACCG